GAUGAACGCUGGCGGCGUGCCUAAUACAUGCGAGUCGAGCGAACAGACGAGGAGCUUGCUCCUCUGACGUUAGCGGCGGACGGGUGAGUAACACGUGGAUAACCUACCUAUAAGACUGGGAUAACUUCGGGAAACCGGAGCUAAUACCGGAUAAUAUAUUGAACCGCAUGGUUCAAUAGUGAAAGACGGUUUUGCUGUCACUUAUAGAUGGAUCCGCGCCGCAUUAGCUAGUUGGUAAGGUAACGGCAUACCAAGGCAACGAUGCGUAGCCGACCUGAGAGGGUGAUCGGCCACACUGGAACUGAGACACGGUCCAGACUCCUACGGGAGGCAGCGGUAGGGAAUCUUCCGCAAUGGGCGAAAGCCUGACGGAGCAACGCCGCGUGAGUAAUGAAGGUCUUCGGAUCGUAAAACUCUGUUAUUGGGGAAGAACAAAUGUGUAAGUAACUAUGCACGUCUUGACGGUACCUAAUCAGAAAGCCACGGCUAACUACGUG
rnacentral:rRNA from 1 species